rnacentral:rRNA from 1 species
UCACCCUGUGAACAUACCUAAAACGUUGCUUCGGCGGGAACAGACGGCCCUGUACCCAUUGGCCGCCCCCGCCAGAGGACCCCUAACUCUGUUUUUAUAAUGUUUUUCUGAGUAAACAAGCAAAUAAAUUAAAACUUUCAACAACGGAUCUCUUGGCUCUGGCAUCGAUGAAGAACGCAGCGAAAUGCGAUAAGUAAUGUGAAUUGCAGAAUUCAGUGAAUCAUCGAAUCUUUGAACGCACAUUGCGCCCGCCAGUAUUCUGGCGGGCAUGCCUGUUCGAGCGUCAUUACAACCCUCAGGCCCCCGGGCCUGGCGUUGGGGAUCGGCAGAAGCCCCCUGUGGGCACACGCCGUCCCUCAAAUACAGUGGCGGUCCCGCCGCAGCUUCCAUUGCGUAGUAGCUAACACCUCGCAACUGGAGAGCGGCGCGGCCAUGCCGUAAAACACCCAACUUCUGAAUGUUGACCUCGAAUCAGGUAGGAAUACCCGCUGAACUUAAAUACCCG